rnacentral:tRNA from 1 species
GUCCCGCGGGGUGCCGUGGCGGCGGCGCGGGCGGCCCUGCGGCGGGCGCGCGCGGCGUCCCACGCGCCGGCGAGACC